rnacentral:rRNA from 1 species
UGAGUACGAGCGGCUACGGCCGCGAAGUGGAUGAUGUCAAGCUUCCAAGAAAAGCCCUAUACCCGUUAAGGCAUGAUGGCCUGUACCCGAAACCGACACAGGUGGGGUGGUAGAGAAUACCGAGGGGCGCGAGGUAACUCUCUCUAAGGAACUCGGCAAAAUGGCCCCGUAACUUCGGGAGAAGGGGUGCCACCGCGAGGUGGUCGCAGUGAAGAGGCCCAGGCGACUGUUUACCAAAAACACAGGUCUCCGCUAAGUCGCAAGACGAUGUAUGGGGGCUGACGCCUGCCCAGUGCCGGAAGGUUAAGGAAGCUGGUCAGCGCAAGCGAAGCUGGCGACUGAAGCCCCGGUGAACGGCGGCCGUAACAAUAACGGUCCUAAGGUAGCGAAAUUCCUUGUCGGGUAAGUUCCGACCCGCACGAAAGGCGUAACGAUCUGGGCGCUGUCUCGGAGAGAGGCUCGGCGAAAUAGAAUUGUCUGUGAAGAUGCGGACUACGUGCACCCGGACAGAAAGACCCUAUGAAGCUUUACUGUAGCUUGGUAUUGUGCUCGGGCUCGGAAUGCGCAGGAUAGGUGGGAGGCUUUGAUCCAUUGCUUGCGGGUGAUGGUGAGCCACUGGUGAGAUACCACUCUUUCCGAGCUAGAGUUCUAACAGCAACCCGUUAUCCGGGUGCUGGACAGUAUCAGGUGGGCAGUUUGACUGGGGCGGUCGCCUCCUAAAAGGUAACGGAGGCGCGCAAAGGUCUGCUCAGGCUGGUUGGAAAUCAGCCGACGAGUGUAAAAGCAGAAGCAGGCUUGACUGUGAGACCUACAAGUCGAACAGGGAGGAAACUCGGCUUUAGUGAUCCGACGGUUCUGCGUGGAAGGGCCGUCGCUCAACGGAUAAAAGUUACUCUAGGAUAACAGGCUGAUCUCCCCCAAGAGUUCACAUCGACGGGGAGGUUUGGCACCUCGAUAUCGGCUCAUCGCAACCUGGGGCUGAAGUCGGUCCCAAGGGUUGGGCUGUUCGCCCAUUAAAGCGGUACGCGAGCUGGGUUCAGAACGUCGUGAGACAGUUCGGUCCAUAUCCGGUGCACGCGCAGGAAUAUUGAGAGGAUUUCUCCCUAGUACGAGAGGACCGGGAGGAACGCACCUCUGGUGUGCCAGUUAUCGUGCCAACGGUAAACGCUGGGUAGCCAUGUGCGGAGUGGAUAACCGCUGAAAGCAUCUAAGUGGGAAGCCCACCUCAAGAUGAGUAUUCCCAUGGCAUAAGCCAGUAAGGUCACGGGAAGAACACCCGUUGAUAGGCUCUACGUGGAAGCGCAGUAAUGUGUGAAGCGGAGGAGUACUAAUAGACCGAGGGCUUGAC